rnacentral:rRNA from 1 species
GCUUGUCUCAAAGAUUAAGCCAUGCAUGUCUAAGUACAAGCCUCAGUAAGGUGAAACCGCGAAUGGCUCAUUAAAUCACACCUAAUCUACUGGAAAGUUACUAGUUACUUGGAUAACUGAGGUAAUUCUUGAGCUAAUACAUGCGAAAAAUCUCGACUCACGGAGAGAUGCUUUUAUUAGAUCAAAACCAAACGGCUUCGGCCGUCUCAUUGGUGAUUCAUAAUAACUUCUCGAAUCGCAUGGCCUUGCGCCGGCGAUGCUUCAUUCAAAUAUCUGCCCUAUCAACUUUCGAUGGUAGGAUAGGGGCCUACCAUGGUAUCAACGGGUAACGGGGAAUUAGGGUUCGAUUCCGGAGAGGGAGCCUGAGAAACGGCUACCACAUCCAAGGAAGGCAGCAGG